rnacentral:lncRNA from 10 species
GGGAGACGGGGAGCGUUUUGACACCCUCGGAGACCCGGUGUAGCAGGAAGAGCCCAUUGAUGGGGAAGGUGGGGGCGGUUGUGCACCUCAAGCAGGUAGCUGAAGCAGAGAGAGAAGGCGGCAGGCAUCAGCGUUUUCUUCUAUGAACUUAUAAGAUCAAAGACUUUAAGACUUUCACUAUUUCUUCUACCGCUAUCUACUACGAACUUCAAAGAGGAACCAGGAGUACGGAAGGAGCAUGAAAGUGGACAAGGAACGUGACCAUUGAAGCACCACAGGGAGGGGUUCAGGCCUCCGGAUGACUGCAGGCAGGCCUGGGUAACAUCCAGCCUCCCACAAGAAGCUGGUGGAGCAGAGCGUUCCCUGACUCCUCCAAGGAAAGGAGACUCCCUUUCCCGGUCUGCUCAGUAACGGGUGCCUUCCCAGACACUGGCGUUACCGCUUGACCAAGGGGCCCUCAAGCGGCCCUUAUGCGGGCAUGACAGAAGGCUCCCCUCUUGCCUUCUAUUCACUUCUCACAAUGUCCCUUCAGCACCUGAC